AUUGAACGCUGGCGGCAGGCCUAACACAUGCAAGUCGAACGGUAACAGGAAGCAGCUUGCUGCUUUGCUGACGAGUGGCGGACGGGUGAGUAAUGUCUGGGAAACUGCCUGAUGGAGGGGGAUAACUACUGGAAACGGUAGCUAAUACCGCAUAACGUCGCAAGACCAAAGGGGGGGACCUUCGGGCCUCUUGCCAUCGGAUGUGCCCAGAUGGGAUUAGCUAGUAGGUGGGGUAACGGCUCACCUAGGCGACGAUCCCUAGCUGGUCUGAGAGGAUGACCAGCCACACUGGAACUGAGACACGGUCCAGACUCCUACGGGAGGCAGCAGUGGGGAAUAUUGCACAAUGGGCGCAAGCCUGAUGCAGCCAUGCCGCGUGUAUGAAGAAGGCCUUCGGGUUGUAAAGUACUUUCAGCGGGGAGGAAGGGAGUAAAGUUUAUACCUUUGCUCAUUGACGUUACCCGCAGAAGAAGCACCGGCUAACUCCGUG
rnacentral:rRNA from 1 species